UAGGGAAUCUUCGGCAAUGGACGAAAGUCUGACCGAGCAACGCCGCGUGAGUGAAGAAGGUUUUCGGAUCGUAAAACUCUGUUGUUAGAGAAGAACAAGGACGUUAGUAACUGAACGUCCCCUGACGGUAUCUAACCAGAAAGCCACGGCUAACUACGUGCCAGCAGCCGCGGUAAUACGUAGGUGGCAAGCGUUGUCCGGAUUUAUUGGGCGUAAAGCGAGCGCAGGCGGUUGCUUAAGUCUGAUGUGAAAGCCCCCGGCUCAACCGGGGAGGGUCAUUGGAAACUGGGAGAGUUGAGUGCAGAAGAGGAGAGUGGAAUUCCAUGUGUAGCGGUGAAGUGCGUAGAUAAAUGGAGGAACACCAGUGGCGAAGGCGGCACUCUGGUCUGUAACUGACGCUGAGGCUCGAAAGCGUGGGGAGCAAACAGG
rnacentral:rRNA from 1 species